CUCAGGAGACUUAAAGAGGAGAUUGCACAGUUCAUACGUAUAUACAUAUAUAUAUGUAUGUAUGUACAUAUAUACACACAUAUAUAUAAAUGACACUAAAAAGGUCAAGAUUAGGGCUGAUCAAGGCAAGAAUCUCAAACCUCUGAAACAAAAACCAGCGUGAAUUUUUCAGUUUUCAUUUCUACUCCACCUGCAGGCAGUGUCUGGCCUUGUAAUGUGAUUCAGAGCAUCACUGUGCUGUUUGGUUCCCUGGUAUUAGCAGUACCCAGAGGAAGCAGCAGCUAAACUCCAGGUCACUGAUAGGCAGUAACAGGCCAACACGUACACUGAUCUUCAUCAGAGAUUUGCAUUGCUGUUUGUUAUAAAAUAUACAUCAAAUCUUAGCUGCAUGAGACAUAACCCACAGUGCUGUUUUCCUUAUUGCUUGGUGUGGUGCUCCCAGAAUGGUCUGCUCAAAAACUGUCUGCAGUGGUGUACCCAUAACAGCCGGUUACCUAUUAGACAGUAUUGCAAGUAUUCCUAAGAUUCCCUUUUAAGAGGACCUCAUUAAAGCUGCAUGUGGAAAAAUGGUCUGAAAUUGCCAUCAUAACCACCACAAUCAAAUUAUAGCAAUCUGCUUUUUUCCAAAUGGUUCACAGCAGACUCAAGUUGAAGUGUGCAGGAGGCAAAGCACUGCACAUGGCAACGACCUCGUGUAUCUUGCAUCACAGAUCAGAGAUAUUUACUUUUUCUCAGCUACGUGACCCUGAAUUAGCAGCUACAGUGGCACAAGCACCAUUGCUAUGGUUACUGUCACAUAAUGUCAUCUUUCUGAGGCUCCAAAGCCACUUACAGGUGUGAGAGGUCAGUCAGUAAUGAUUUCAGUAUAGAAGUGCAAUACUUCUGUCUGAGAAAGGGUGACGAGAAAGGCAGCAGGGGUUAAACCCAAAGAAGCAAACAAAGUGGUGGAAAGCAAAGACUGGCAAUGAGUACAUUUCCUGCCACACCAGAAGAUAUCGAUCCUGUACGUUCAACGGUUUCCUUCACUCUUUAAACACUGCAGAUUGUGUAAUAUCACGUUGCUUUUAACUUCAUACUUUAAAUCAGACAUCUUAGCUAAAAAGAAUUGAUCAAACAAGAUAUGUCCUCAACCUGCCUCUGUAUAAAGACAUGCAGCCUGACAAGGUUUAAUCUCUUUCUCUUGUGUGGUCUCAGUGUGUGUCAUCUCAGUUCUCCUGGCUUGCUGAGUGCUUCUGAGUACAAACACAGAACCAACAUCCCUCAGGAGAUUGCAAACUUUUUAGGGAACUCAAAAGAGCAAGCGCCGCAGAUGUUGGAAAAGAGAGUGGAGUUGGUCUGAUUUUGCUUCUCUUUUAGGAAAGCCAGUUCAUGCUUUGCCUAGCAGAUUUCUGUGAGUGAAGAUCCUUGCUUCUCUUUCUUGCUUCUCCUUUUUUUGCUUAUUGGCUUUGAGUUUCUGCGCAACUAGUAAGAGGCAGCCUAUUAAGGUUUGGAUUUGCCCAUUAAAUGAGAGGGUAGUGUAUACCCUAUCUCCUUUCUCACUUCAUGUCACUGAGCUGAAGGAGCACAGCAACAUUUUGCUGUCUGAAUCAACAGACACUAUUUCACAAACGUUCAUUCAAAGUGCAGCAAUAGCAAAAGCUUGAGUGUCAUGUUAUUUGCAAAUUUUUGUUUGUUU
ensembl:lncRNA